AGAAUGUAAAAACAGUCCCGAUGUCUUCUGCUUAUUUCUGGAUUAGGCAGUGAAACAAAAUCACAGAUUUUGUGAAGAAAGCUUACCUUACUUCCUUACUUAUUUUAGCAUGGAACUGGGUGACAAGACAAAGCUUGGGCAUCCCAUAUAGUGUGCUAUAUGUGUUGAAACACUGAGGCAGUGACUUAAGCAGAAAGUUUCCAGUUUUGUCUUGUGAGAAAAAUAAGGUUGAAGUGUUUGAUGGUCCAUAUAUUAGGUGCCAAUCACAGAAUGAGCUAUUUUUGGAGACCAUGUCUGGCAUUGAAAAAGAAGCAUGGAAUGCUUUUGUUGCAGUUGUAUCUGAUUUCCUGAGAAACAGGAAGCCAUCAAAUUAUGAAGAUCUUGUGCAGACUCUGUUAACUAGUUUUCGAGCAUUGGGCUGCAACAUGAGUAUAAAUGAUGAAAUGUUAAAAAGUU